GCCCAGAUAGCUCAGUCGGUAGAGCAGAGGAUUGAAAAUCCUCGUGUCGGUGGUUCGAUUCCGCCUCUGGGNA
rnacentral:tRNA from 1 species